rnacentral:rRNA from 1 species
CUGAGUAGAGUGGCGCACGGGUGAGUAACGCGUGGGUAAUCUACCCUUGGAUUUGGGAUAACUCUGCGAAAGUGGAGCUAAUACCGGAUAGUCUGGCUUUAAAUAAGAAGUCGGUAAAGGAUGCCUCUGCAUAUGCAUUCGUCCGAGGAUGAGCCCGCGUCUCAUUAGCUAGUUGGUAGGGUAAUGGCCUACCAAGGCAACGAUGAGUAGCUGGUCUGAGAGGAUGAUCAGCCACACUGGAACUGAAACACGGUCCAGACUCCUACGGGAGGCAGCAGUGGGGAAUAUUGCGCAAUGGGCGAAAGCCUGACGCAGCAACGCCGUGUGAGGGAUGAAGGCUUUCGGGUCGUAAACCUCUGUCGGAAGGGAAGAACGGGCAUUGGUCUAAUAGGCCUUUGUUUUGACGGUACCUUUAGAGGAAGCACCGGCUAACUCCGUGCCAGCAGCCGCGGUAAUACGGAGGGUGCAAGCGUUAUUCGGAAUUACUGGGCGUAAAGCGCACGUAGGCGGCCUUGUAAGUCAGGGGUGAAAUCCCACGGCUCAACCGUGGAACUGCCUUUGAAACUGCAGGGCUUGAAUCCUGGAGAGGGUGGCGGAAUUCCUGGUGUAGGAGUGAAAUCCGUAGAUAUCAGGAGGAACACCGGUGGCGAAGGCGGCCACCUGGACAGGUAUUGACGCUGAGGUGCGAAAGUGUGGGGAGCAAACAGGAUUAGAUACCCUGGUAGUCCACACCGUAAACGAUGGAUACUAGGUGUCGGGGACUUGAUCUUCGGUGCCGUAGCUAACGCGUUAAGUAUCCCGGCUGGGGAGUACGGUCGCAGGCUGAAACUCA